AAUAAUAAUUGCAUAUAUAUUUUUAAUUAUACCUCUGUACUAUUGUAAUUACUGUAAUAUUUAAAUUGAAUAAUUGUUUUAUUUUUCCGCUUCAGGAUAUAAAAUAAAAAAAUGUCGAAAAUAAUUUUAUUAUUAUCACUUUUCGUAUUGAUUGGUCUCCAUGUUAAUGCAGCUGCAGGCUGUAAAGGCAAGUGGUGCCAUCCAUCACAAGGAUACAACUGUUGUGCAGGACAUUCAUGCAGUUCGUAUGCUUGGCAAGGUACAUGCCAACAUGAGGAUCAACGUGAAAUAGAUAGUAUGAAGAUGGCACCGGGAAAAUAAUCAUAACAUACAGUGAAGAUUAAUAAAUGCAUUGUAUCAAUUAAUAAAAAUCUUUUGUUGACAAACAAAA